rnacentral:rRNA from 1 species
GUGAGGAAUUUUCCGCAAUGGGCGAAAGCCUGACGGAGCAAUGCCGCGUGAAGGAUGAAGGCCUAUGGGUUGUAAACUUCUUUUCUCAGAAAAGAAUUAUGACGGUAUCUGAGGAAUAAGCAUCGGCUAACUCUGUGCCAGCAGCCGCGGUAAGACAGAGGAUGCAAGCGUUAUCCGGAAUGAUUGGGCGUAAAGCGUCUGUAGGUUGUUUAAAAAGUAUUCUGUCAACGAUUAGGGCUUAACCCUAGAUAGGCAGAAUAAACUUUUAAGCUAGAGUGUGGUAGAGGCAGAGGGAAUUCCCGGUGGAGCGGUGAAAUGCGUAGAUAUCGGGAGGAACACCAAAGGCGAAGGCACUCUGCUGGGCCAAUACUAACACUGAGAGACGAAAGCGAGGGGAGCAAAUGGGAUUAGAAACCCGAGUAGUCC